rnacentral:tRNA from 1 species
UAGCUCAGUUGGUAGAGCAUUUGACUGAAAAUCAAAGGGUCCCCAGUUCAAGUCUGGG